rnacentral:rRNA from 1 species
GACGUAGGGUGCGAGCGUUGUCCGGAUUUAUUGGGCGUAAGAGCUCGUAGGCUGCUCGUCGCGUCGUCCGUGAAAACCCGCGGCUUAACCGCGGGCUUGCGGUUGAUACGGGCGGGCUAGAGUUCGGUAGGGGAGACUGGAAUUCCUGGUGUAGCGGUGAAAUGCGCAGAUAUCAGGAAGAACACCCGUGGCGAAGGCGGCUCUCUGGGACGGUACUGACGCUGAGACGCGAAAGCGUGGGGAGCGAACAGG